rnacentral:rRNA from 1 species
AAUACGAACUGUGCGAACGUUAUUCGGAAUCACUGGGCUUACAGGGUGCGUAGGCGGCUAUUCAGGUCAGGUGUGAAAGCCCCCGGCUCAACCGGGGAACUGCGCUUGAAACCGAGUGGCUCGAGUCAGCUAGAGGUACACGGAACUUCCAGUGGAGCGGUGAAAUGUGUUGAUAUUGGAAGGAACACCGGAGGCGAAGGCGGUGUACUGGGGCUGGUCUGACGCUGAGGCACGAAAGCCAGGGGAGCGAACGG